rnacentral:rRNA from 1 species
AUUGAACGCUGGCGGCAUGCCUUACACAUGCAAGUCGAACGGUAACGGGCCUUCGGGUGCCGACGAGUGGCGAACGGGUGCGUAAUACAUCGGAACGUGCCCGAUCGUGGGGGAUAACGAGGCGAAAGCUUUGCUAAUACCGCAUACGAUCUACGGAUGAAAGCAGGGGACCGCAAGGCCUUGCGCGGACGGAGCGGCCGAUGGCAGAUUAGGUAGUUGGUGGGAUAAAAGCUUACCAAGGCGACGAUCUGUAGCUGGUCUGAGAGGAUGAUCAGCCACACUGGGACUGAGACACGGCCCAGACUCCUACGGGAGGCAGCAGUGGGGAAUUUUGGACAAUGGGCGCAAGCCUGAUCCAGCCAUGCCGCGUGCAGGAUGAAGGCCUUCGGGUUGUAAACUGCUUUUGUACGGAACGAAAAGCCUUCUUUUAAUACAGGAGGGUCAUGACGGUACCGUAAGAAUAAGCACCGGCUAACUACGUG